rnacentral:rRNA from 1 species
GAUGAACGCUAGCGGCAGGCUUAAUACAUGCAAGUCGUGGGGCAGCAUGAUGUAGCAAUACAUUGAUGGCGACCGGCAAACGGGUGCGGAACACGUACACAACCUUCCUUUUAGUGGGGAAUAGCCCAGAGAAAUUUGGAUUAAUACCCCAUAACAUAUAGAGAUGGCAUCAUCUUAAUAUUAAAGCUUCGGCGCUAGAAGAUGGGUGUGCGGCUGAUUAGGUAGUUGGCGGGGUAACGGCCCACCAAGCCUACGAUCAGUAGCUGAUGUGAGAGCAUGAUCAGCCACACGGGCACUGAGACACGGGCCCGACUCCUACGGGAGGCAGCAGUAAGGAAUAUUGGACAAUGGACGAAAGUCUGAUCCAGCCAUGCCGCGUGAAGGAUUAAGGUCCCCUGGAUUGUAAACUUCUUUUAUUUGGGACGAAAAAAGAUCAUUCUUGAUCACUUGACGGUACCAGAUGAAUAAGCACCGGCUAACUCCGUGCCAGCCGCCGCAGUAAAAC